rnacentral:rRNA from 1 species
UACGGAGGAUGCAAGCGUUAUCCGGAUUCAUUGGGUUUAAAGGGUGCGUAGGCGGGCUAUUAAGUCAGUGGUGAAAUCCUGCAGCUUAACUGCAGAACUGCCGUUGAUACUGAUAGUCUUGAGUUUGGUUAAGGUAGGCGGAAUGUGUAAUGUAGCGGUGAAAUGCUUAGAUAUCGGGAGGAACACCGGUGGCGAAGGCGGCUUUCUGGCCAGUUACUGACGCUCAUGCGCGAAAGCUGGGGUAGCGAACCGGAUUAGAUACCCCGGUAGU